UGGAACUUUGUCCAAGAAGCUUGAGGUAGUACCGACCAUGCUCUCGUUAUAUCCUGCUAACCCACAAAAUUCGGACAUUACGCCUACGGAUAAUGAAGAGGGUAAUUUGGCUGAACCCUCAAUGGUGGUAUUCGAUAAUGGAAGCUUAUUUGCUGCCACACCAAUAUUACCAUGCUUUUGAUAGUACCAAGCGUAAGUCUUGUAAAGGUCAAGUACUCGCUGAUCAUGGGCAUCUAAAACAUCGGCAAUUUCCGUUGGAAGAGGAGGUAAAACAACUGUAGACUGUGCAAGAUCCGUGCUUCCUUCCAAUGUCAUAACGUAUUGCUCGUUCAUGCGAAUACGACCAAAAAGAUGACACAAGAUUACGACGGUGUCACGCAUGGCUUCGAAUUUCUCAGUAGCAAACUUCUC